rnacentral:rRNA from 1 species
UACGUAGGGACCGAGCGUUGUCCGGAAUCAUUGGGCGUAAAGAGCGUGUAGGCGGCCACUUAAGUCCUGCGUGAAAUCUUGCGGCUCAACCGCAAGCGGUCGUGGGAAACUGGGUGGCUAGAGUGCGGGAGAGGAGAGUGGAAUUCCUGGUGUAGCGGUGGAAUGCGCAGAUAUCAGGAAGAACACCCGUGGCGAAGGCGGCUCACUGGACCAUUACUGACGCUGAGGCACGAAAGCUAGGGGAGCAAACAGG